rnacentral:tRNA from 1 species
GGCCCUAUGGCGCAACGGUAGCGCGUUCGACUCCAGUUAAUCGUAUCGGCUGAUAGGAUUGCAUCGAAAGGUUGUCUGUUCAAAUCAGGCUGGGGUCA